GUUCAAGGUUAAGACACAAAACCAUUAUUAUCGGAUCAUUACUCAAGUUUUGUUUUAUAAAAUGGUCGUGUCUCGAGGCGUCUCGCCGUUGUACAAAAGCAGAUCAACUUGCCAGGUUCACAAGAAAUAACCGAAGAGCUCGGUUUGCUCUGUUGUCACCUCCACUUUGCCUGAACAUAAACCCAAACAGAGAGAUGCAGAGAGUGUUAUUACGCCAAAAUCACAAGAUGGACGAAGAAGAGAAUUUUCAACUAUCAGGAGUGAAUGGGAAGCGAGCGUUACACGCUUUCGUUUGCCCGUCAGUUACGCCUGGAUUUUCUCCGCUACUCAGCAAGGAGCUCUCUACAGGUCAUGUUCAACAUCGCAUGGUGAACACGUAAUGGAUGUGAUAUUGUGACAUUACACUGAUGACAGCAUGUGGACAGAGUUGCAAAAAAGCUGCGGGUACGCGGGUACCACCCGGAGGAAGGUUUGCUUUGAAUGAGGUUUGUGAGGAAGGUUAAAAGUUGAGCACUCUCAUUGAUCACAUGCAUGUACCAAAAAAACAAAUAUUUGUUUAUGCUGGUUGCCACUUGACUCACGGCAUGACGUAACG
rnacentral:misc_RNA from 1 species